UGGGGAAUAUUGCACAAUGGGCGCAAGCCUGAUGCAGCGACGCCGCGUGGGGGAUGACGGCCUUCGGGUUGUAAACUCCUUUCGCUAGGGACGAAGCUUUUUGUGACGGUACCUAGAUAAGAAGCACCGGCUAACUACGUGCCAGCAGCCGCGGUAAUACGUAGGGUGCGAGCGUUGUCCGGAAUUACUGGGCGUAAAGGGCUCGUAGGUGGUUUGUCGCGUCGUCUGUGAAAUUCCGGGGCUUAACUCCGGGCGUGCAGGCGAUACGGGCAUAACUUGAGUACUGUAGAGGUAACUGGAAUUCCUGGUGUAGCGGUGAAAUGCGCAGAUAUCAGGAGGAACACCGAUGGCGAAGGCAGGUUACUGGGCAGUUACUGACGCUGAGGAGCGAAAGCAUGGGUAGCGAACAGG
rnacentral:rRNA from 1 species